UUAUUAGCAUAAUCACAGGGAUUUUAAAUGGAAAAAGCAGAGUUAGACAUUUACAAGGAAAACCAAAUGAAGUAACUGUCGACCCAGAGGGAAAUCCCCCCAAGCUAUUUGGGGCGUGAUUUGAUUGAGACCCACCUUGUCUGAUAGCUCUUUGAUUGCACUGCCAGAGUUCAUCAGAUGAGGAGAUCAUUGUAAACAGAGCACUGAGGCCUUUCGAGACAACAUUAUAGUAACCCUAACACAAAACCUUUCAAAGAAACAGGGGUGUAUCUAGAGCUUAACUUGCCUCUGAAUGGGCAGCUGCCAGGCCUCUGCAUGCAGUCUUGUAGCUCCUCAGAGGCUGUGUACUGUACACACCUGCCUCCUGUGUCCAGUUUAAGCCUGAAUAACCCAUCUCAGCCUUCCAAAAGCACAUUCUCGCCUAACCCCUCUCCCCAACCACUCCUUGGACACGUCCCACUACCUGCAACAGUGCAGUAGUACAACUUGCUGGUCUGCACUUUAGCACCAUCAGUAUCUGUGAAGUAUGCUUGCUAAUCACGCAGGGCAGUCUUAACACAUCCCUUUCCCCAGUUUGCUCUGUACAGCAUUUCAAAUGUUCCAGUCUAAACUGUACUUGAAUUUAGGAAAUUUAAAAUGGGUAUUUCUGACCCUCCUACUGGCAGCAGCCAUCUUGAGGGAAAGUAGCAUUUGGAGGCAGCAAUGAGCAUAGGACCCAUCCCCAAACCAGUUUAAAUCCCAAUUGAUCAGGAAAGCUCUCAACAUUUUGCUAAGGCAGUAAUGGUCAUGGAGACUAUGAAACCAUUAUUAAAAGGGGAUGAAACGGUUUUGCUCUGACACUGGGAUACUGUAACAAGAUUUUCCCCUUUUACAGCACCUUCCCUCCAAGGGUCUCAAAGCCCUUCAGAAAUAUCCGUGAAUUAAGCCUCAACACCCCAGUGAGGUAGGUUAAGUAUUAUCCCCAUUUUACAGAUAAGGAAACUGAGGCACAGAAGGUUAUAAACUCCCUCAGUAUCACACAGAAAUGCAGUGGCAGAGACACUCCCAGUCCUGUGCACUGGACACAGGACCGUUCUCCCAACCAGCGGGGUCAGAACAAGUGUCAGUUUCAGCAGGAAGCUCAGAAAUCCCAAUUUUAAGUAAAACUAAUUUCAACUCCAAAAUGACCAUUUAGACAGUUUCUUGCCUUGGGAACUUCCCAAAAGCUGUGCUCUGCCCAGCUGGAGUAGCUUUUUGUUUUACCACUUGUUCCAUAAAACCCUGUUUUCACAACCACAGACUGAGGCUCAUUUGUAUGGGAAACCAGUGAAAAACAGUUCCACUUAUUCAAGGGAGGUAGUGAAGCAUCGAGCUAAGGUUAUUUAAAAUAGUAAGCUAGGAUCCCUCUGUUAAAGUGAGGGUUUGUUUCUUACACAGUUAAUCCCAGAACUCCCUAUGCCUUUUCCAUUUUGAGCGUUUUGUAGCCACCCCAAUGUGCCAUGCCCUAAUAACCAAAGAUCUAGAAUCUUCUAGAGUCAUAUUUUAAAACCCUCUUCUCACUGCACCUCUUUCACCAUUAGUGUAGAACACUGUAGGGUUGUUUCUAACACAAUCCUUUGUCCUUCUACAGCACCCUCCUUCUGAAGAUCUGAAAGUGCCUUUGACAAAUACGAACUAAACCUCAAAAUCCUACAAGGCGGGACUAUUGCCCCAUUUUGCAUAUGAGGCACAGAGUGGCUAAGUGACUGGCCUAAGGUUACACAGCAAGUCUGUGGCAGAAUCAAGCACAGAUUCCAGAUCUCCUGACUCCCAGCCCAUUUUUUCAGCCCCAGGACCAUCCUUCCCACCUAAGGGGAGAACUCCCCUUCCCGAGUUAACCCUCUGCUCUCAUUUCUGAUGGUUGAAGAGGAAUAAAACUAUGAAGGUGGACUUUGGGUUCUCCAUCUCUGCAUCAUGUGGCACUGAAUUAAGACUCACUUUUUGUUACCCUGGAAGUCGGGCUUUGGAGAAAGGCAGUGGCUUUUGCCUCAUCGAGCCCCUGACUGUGGGCCUCUGCACUAGAAGGAACACACAGAGAUUCCGUCUUGGAGGAUAUCAUGGCCUGCGACACCUCUCUAGGAGGAUUUGACUUUUGGCUCAGCCUGACUGAGCUCAAAGAAAGCACAUGAUCCCCAAAAGGAGCAGAAAUAGCAAAGUCCUCUGGAAGUGACUGACCCAUCCGAGCCACAGAGGGGAGCUGUGGAGUGGUGGCAGAACGUCCUGGAAUAGCUGCAACUGCAGCGCUGCUGCCUUCUUCUUCAAUAUGAAGGACUUCCAAGGUGGCAGGUGGCAGGUGGCAGCAGGGCUGGAAGGUCCCUGCUGUGGCCUGUCCCAUGGGGUUUUGACUGGGGCAGCAGAACUGUACGGGAAGGAGAGUCGAUUGAGUCUGGAUUUGUUGGGCUGGAAAGCAGCUCCAGGGAGGGUUCAGAAAUCAGUGACAGAGUGGAAACAGCCUGUAAAAACGAGACAAAAAAAGAGGAACAGAGAGGGGGGAAGAUAGAGACAGAGGUGAGGAAAGGAAAAGAACAAGGCACAACAUGGCAGAACAAUCAAAGCCUGCAAACCACAGAGCCCUCCUGACAUGAAGCCAUGAAGGUAGCUGGGAUGGACAAGUGGGACCUCAGAGUGUGGAAUGUGAACACAGCUGUGCCCCUUGUCCAAGGAGGGUGCUGGGAAUGAGGAAAGAUCAUGCAGCCAUUCAUUGAGUACUUUUUCUUAGGCUCUUCAAAGCCGCAGUUAAUUCUUUCUCCUGUAAAUGGGGCUGAUGCAUCUGCCCCAAGGGCCCAGCCCAUUAGACCAAGACUGACAGUCACAUUAGCAACUUUCUCUGAAUCAGACACUUGCAUUAAUUUGCAUAGAAAUUUACAUACUUUUCGAAGAAAACAAUGAAGCAUGUAAGCCAUAAUAUUUGCCUCCCUGAUACAGUAGCCUCGGGGCACUCUCGGCAAGAGGAGUACAUGACUCAGGCUCUGGCCUGCUCAAAUCACAAGGCUCUUCUCUGGGUCGAAUACAUGAUGAAUCAGAGGGAAGCAUUCUAGGACUUCAGAGGCUGUCCUUCGGGAGCCCUGCAUUAACUCUCUUCUUCCUCACCCAUCCCACUUUUCUUGCCCCCUUUAUAUUUGGGUGAGAGAAGUAUACAUUUUGUUCCAAAACAUGCUCUGAAAUGGUCAGGUA